rnacentral:lncRNA from 1 species
UCAUUAAAUUAAUUCAAUUAAACGUUCCUUUAUUCGGUUCUUUGAAAUUAGAUAUAAUUACCAACACGGAUACUGUGUUCAAAUCACGAUUCCCAUUGUCUGCUGUUCCAAAUAAUAUUUAAUUGCACUGUAUUAUUUGGAUACUAUUCUAUUCAAUCGUGGGUUCGAAUUACGGACAAAGUUUCUGUAAUCUCGAGGGAUGGUUUGAUGGUAUGCAAUUCAUUCGCCACAUUGUAGUCUUAACGGUAUAAAAAUUGUAUAAAACGCGUUAUUUUCUAUGCUUCGAACUGCCCGCUUUGUUUCAUCGAUCGAACGAUCCCUCGAAUAAUUCCAUAUCCACGAAGAAUUUCAAGUUAUCGUAAAGUCGUGGGGCUAUGUGACGGCAUACAUGUGUACAUUUCAUUUACUGCCCUGUAUGUACAUAUACGAAUACAAGUUACGAUUGUAUGGUGAUCUAAGUGGUAAAAUUGACUCAUAAGCGAAAUAGUGUUUGCUCUAGGUUCACUUCUGCGUGUGUGCAUAUUACGAUAUCGAUUGAUAGCGAUUAUCCAUAGACGAAAUGUAAGUCGUGACCAGUGACUAGACACACCUAAGGAUCGAUUGUAAAGGAAAAUGGAAAAAAAAAUCCCAAACUCAAACGUAGAACCGCUAGAUGUCCUAGUACGAAGAUCUUUCGAGCGAAACUUAGGUUAGAAUAAGCCAAAUCGAGAAGUCACAAAUGAUUAUUACCAGUAUUUAUUUGAAGCGCGAACUUUGGGCUUGGAAAAUAUCAGAAUGGACGAAGAAAACUCGCGUUUUUACCUGAACCUGCAAAGAACUUUAUAGUUAGCUUCCCUUGACGUCCAUGUUCAGCAGAUGUUCUAUGACUCACCAAAUUCCGACGUAAUUAAUCAGGAAAAAGACAGUUUUAGAUGAGAAGACGAGAAAAAAAAAAAAAGAAAAGACGCAGAAGGAGAAAAAGAUAUAUUGGGAGGCGAUAAAGUAUCUAUUUUUACACUUAACUGAAAAAUGCUGAAGAAAAUUGCGAAGAAAAAAAAGAAGAAAUGAUAGAUGAAAAAGAUGAUGAAAAAGGAAAGUUUCUUCUUGAUUCGAAGUAUUUGAUCGUUCGAUAGAAUUUAAAGAUUUCCCGUGACCCGAUCUUCUACGAACAAAAGGUACAUAUAUUUAUACGUAGAAAUAAAAAAUAAAGAAUAAAAUGGAGACGCGAAUGCAGGUUGACGAGAGAAAAAACUCAGUGUCUGUAAAUAAUCGCAGAUCGUUCUUUUCGCGCGCGGACAAAUCGACAGAUCUUUUUUUGUAUCGCUAAUCGUGCAAAUAAUUAUCGAAUAAUCGCUGUAGAUCAACGCCACCGACAUCGAUCAUUGAUCGAAAUCGCGGCGCGACUUUAGACUUUUUGUCUAGCUGUUAUUGCAAUUCGAUUUGCACUAAUCUUAAUAGGAACGAGAGGUCCGUCGCGCGACAUCUCAAUUACGAUAAGGGAAAUAGAAUAAAAUCAAUUUUAUGACGGAAAAGAAGAAAUAUCGACGCUCUGAUUAAGCAGAAUAAUCGAUUCAGUUAACAGCUAUAAGAUUGUACAUAUA